rnacentral:rRNA from 1 species
AUUGAACGCUGGCGGCAGGCCUAACACAUGCAAGUCGAGCGGAUGAAGGGAGCUUGCUCCUGGAUUCAGCGGCGGACGGGUGAGUAAUGCCUAGGAAUCUGCCUGGUAGUGGGGGAUAACGUCCGGAAACGGGCGCUAAUACCGCAUACGUCCUGAGGGAGAAAGUGGGGGAUCUUCGUACCUCACGCUAUCAGAUGAGCCUAGGUCGGAUUAGCUAGUUGGUGGGGUAAAGGCCUACCAAGGCGACGAUCCGUAACUGGUCUGAGAGGAUGAUCAGUAACACUGGAACUGAGACACGGUCCAGACUCCUACGGGAGGCAGCAGUGGGGAAUAUUGGACAAUGGGCGAAAGCCUGAUCCAGCCAUGCCGCGUGUGUGAAGAAGGUCUUCGGAUAGUAAAGCACUUUAAGUUGGGAGGAAGGGCAGUAAGUUAAUACCUUGCUGUUUUGACGUUACCAACAGAAUAAGCACCGGCUAACUUAGUG